CACAAUGCGGUAUGGGUUGUG
rnacentral:siRNA from 1 species